GGUUAUAUGUCGUCUAUAACCGGCCAAUGGCAUUUAUGUUCGCUGCUAUAGAAAAAGAAAAAGAAGUAUACAUAGUGGAAGUGUGUUAAAAGAAAACAUAAAAAUGCCUAAAUGUAUUGCAAAAAAUUGUAAGAGUACAUCAACCAAGGGAAUUAAAAUGUGUUCUUUUCCACAAGAAAGGGAAAUGCAAAUGUUGUGGAUAAGAAAUAUAGGUCGAAGUAACUGGCAGCCGAGAAAGGAUUCACGUUUGUGUGAGUUUCAUUUUGCUGAUGAUCAGUGGGAAACAAUGAGAGUCGAUGGCAAAAAAAAGUUAAAAUGAAAAGCUGUACGAACACUAUUUGGGGAAGAUACUCAAAUUCGAAUAGAUGUAAUAAAAAAAAUGUCAGCAAGAACUAUCUAUCGAGGAAAAGAGUUUAUCAACAAGUGUAAAUCAAGGGAAUACAAAUACAAACGAAAUAUUGGAAUCAACAAUAGAUACAACAAAGAUAUCGGAGCAAAAUAACAGUAUGAAACAAGAAGAUGAAAAUAUACAAACUGAAAUUGAGACUGAAAUUCAAUCUACUCAACCGUUGACGUUAAGUAAUUCCAAAACAAUUCCAAAAUAUGAAAAAAGAUUAGAAAAAUUAGAAAAACGUUUAUUUCAAAGUGAAAAAAGCAAAGAAGAAAUGAUGAAACAAUUGCAGGACUUGAAAAUUAAGUUGAAGAAACUACAGCAGGAAGAAAUAGAAUGGAGUAACUUACAGGAAAAAAUUUCUGACAGCUACAAAUAUUGUCGGAGAAGGUUUAAGAUACGGUACGACAGCAAAAGAAAAAAAAUUUUUUUUAUUAUAUUUUAUGACGUUUUCUUGACGUUUCCAAUAUCAAGACGAUGUCAUUAAGUUAUUACUUUACUAUUUGUGAAAUUAUAUUAUGAUCAUGUACGAAUAAUAUUUUUUUAUAUAUAA